UAUACAUUCAUAAACACGAACGGUCUAAUGCCAUACUCCACUUCUACAAGCCAUUUUCGCAUGGCUGUACACUUAUACAUUUCAUAAAGUACUCGAAAAACAACAAUGGGUAGUCCUAUACAUGCCCUAUCAAAAUUCAACCAAAAUGGUACCCAAAAGAGCCUUUGAUAGUGUGGGCGACUUCGACUUCAAGAUCCCGAGUCCGGUAGCUGGAGAACCAAAAAUCUAUAAAACAGAGGAGCAGUGUAACGAGUAAGCAAUUUAUGCUUAGUAAGUUUUGAGCAAGGAAUUCCAGCAUAAACAAAGAAUAACACACAUUUAGCUAAACGGAAUAUUUCAUAAUACGCAAUUUACCGAUAUCAAACUUGCUUCACAACAUUAACAACCCUUAUGUACAUACACAAUAGUCUAACUUAGCCGAAGGCCGGUAGCUCGUUUAUCAACUGAGCGAACAUUUAUUUGUAAGGGCUCGAUUAAAUUCAACACAUACGUAACAUAUCCCCAUAUUGGGAUGUUUUUCGAGUAUUCGCUAGAAUUUUACAGCAAGCUCAUUCAUUACCAAAUCACGUACCUUCGGGAUUUAACCGGAUAUAGCUCCUCGUUCAAAUGCCUUCGGGACAUAGCCCGGUUUUAGUAACUCACACAAUGCCUUCGGGACAUAACCCGGAUUUAAUAACUCGCACGAAUGCCUUCGGGACUUAACCCGGAUUUAGUAUCUCGCACAAAGGCCUUCGGGGCUUAACCCGAAAUUUGUAUCUCGCACAAAUGCCUUCGGAUCUUAGUCCGGAUAUAUUCACUUAGCACAAAGCCUUCGGGACUUAGCCCGGACAGCAUUCAAUUAAUCAUGCACAUCUAACAAUAAUUCAUGGCACAUUCAUAUUUCAUUUUCAUUUGCGAAACUCAAACACAAGGCACAUAUCGUCCUUGCACAUUCGGCUCAAUAGCCACACAUAGAGCAUGAUUUAAUCACAUUGUAAUUUAAG
rnacentral:lncRNA from 1 species